GAAUUGGUCAACAUUUUUCAGAACGCUUCUAUUGGCACGACUGUAAGCAUCUCUGUAUCUCUGCACUUCUUUCCAGAUAUUGACGAGGUAAUUUGUAAAUCGACUUUGGUUGCGGACAACGUUACUUAUCCAUAUAUCGAUUUAUCCACAUGGUAGGAUACAACAAAUCGAAUAUAUAUAAACAAAAGUAAUCGGUAAGUCAUAUAACCGUGUAUGUAUGGUCUUAACUUAAUGUCAACGCAAUUGAUUUAAUUUAAGUCGCAACUGAGAGUUGAUAGUAGAAUGUCCAAUUGAGAAACCGCGCUCAAUAACGAGGUAAAAACAGUGCGAAAUAUUGUGGCAGGGUAAUUUAAGCGGCCUUGGGUUCAAAGAAUGAAAUCUAAAAUGAAUUUUCUUCGAACCAAAUCCUAGAUGACAAACGGUUCCGUAUAUAUACAGGGUGUAUAAAAAAAAGGCAAUCGAACUUCUACGCGCUAUUGUAUCUGAAUUACCCUGCGUACGGACGAGAUUUUUUCACAUUCGGAAAGAUCAUGCUUUUAGUUGUUGAAUGAUAUCUUCUUCAUGCCAAAUGGAUAAAAAAUGAGCAAAUAUGAAUCCGAUAAAAAAUGCUAGUCAGAAUCGCAUAUUUUCACCGUUGAGAGUUGGGUCUAAAACCAUUGAAAAUGAAACCCCUUUAGGACUUAAGUUGAUGAAUUUCACUUCAUUAAACUGCACACAUAUUCAUAAUUAUUAUUAAGUAGGAAUAAAUCUUAGCUAAGCUACGACACGUUCGUGAUUAAUUGCUUUUUCUUUUGUUAUGCAUUGUUUUAAUUAGGCACAGAGGUGAAAAUAUGCGAUUUUGACUAACAUUUUUAAUCGGCCUCGUACAUGCUUAUUUUUUCUCCACUUGGCAUGAAAAGCAUGUCAUUCAAUAGCUAAAAGCCUGAUCUUUCCGAAUAUGAAAACCAGUUGUUCAUACGCCGAGUAAUUCACGUAUAAUAGCGCGCUGAAGUUCGAUUACCUUUUUUUAUACACCCUGUAUAUAACAAAUCCCUAUAUGACAAACGGUUCUGUAUUAUUAUUGUGUCGAAGAACCAUGCUUACUAUGACCAAUUAAAAUAUUAGGAAGAUGCAUCUAUGUCCUUCCAAUAUCUCUAAAUCAGUAUUAUUCCAUAUGAUUAUGAUUAUUAUUUGUCAAACGAAAUUCUUUGUAAGCCAAAUUGCUAUAGGCCUACAUAUUCCGGGAACAUCGCUUCGCAGAAGUUCGAAUAUUGUAAUUGUGGCACUUUCUGUAGCUAUGACAAUUAUUGUGCAUCAAAAUGACUUACAAUUUCAACUGGGUUGUGUAAUUUAAAUGUUCUGGUAAUUGAUUCUUCUUUAUGAGUAUGAGGAGAGGAAACAUAAAAUCCUUCUUGGCCACGGCUGGAAAUCGAAACCGCAAAGUUCGCAAUUCUAGAACCAUGCAUGCUCUAUUGCCUGACCUACAAGGACGAUUUGGGAACAUUGUUACUUAUUUGUGAUAUAUUAUUGACAUUUCAGGAUAUCUUCCUUCGAAAGCUGAUGGCAGCUGUUAGUAAUGCAGGUAAAUGUUACUUAUAUGUGAUUUCUUCUGAGAUUCUAUUCGUGUGAUGUAUACAUGUAAAUGUUUUGGUGUUUUAAUUCUUCUCUCGAGUAUGUGCUGGGCAAUAUUAUUAUAUAGCAAGAUUUGUAUAAACGAAAGGAUGACAGAACAAAUGAAACUAUCUUCAUAUUCGAAUCAUUCAAUAACAAACAUAUGUACUACAUAGAGGCAUUUUUAUAUUUGAUAGACUAUAUAUCGCAUUCCAUACAUGCUUGAUAAAUAAUCGUACUAGUGAUAAUUUUGGAUUGCAACCUGACCUGGCCCUGACAAGAACUAAUAUCUUUUACAUUUUUCUAAUUCUGCCAUUGGUAUGAGACUCUGUUCGAGAUAAAGUAUACCAAGUGAAUAGAAAUGCUCGAAAUUUUUAAAAUGUAAUUUCGUCUGUCGAUAAUGUCGAAUCACGGUUAAUAGAACUAGAUGGUUAGGCUAGCUGGACCACGUGACAAAUAUGUUAUUGUUCAUUUUUAUUUUUGGUCACGUGACGAGGAAAGGGGGUGCUUUGUGAUGAGUGAUUAGGGAAACAUAUGAGUGAGAACAUAAUAUGCCAACAAAAGAUCAUAUUUCAAAGCGCUAGAGGGCUUCUGAGAUCAAGAUGGAAAUUGAAACAGAAAGCGAACAAACAUACGAACCUAUUUUGAACGUUGGAGAUGAAAAUAUCGAAGAAAGCGAGCGUCGUGAACAGUUUAUGAUCGGGGGGACGAAGGCUUUGUUUAUACACCGCGUUUGGAUAAUUGUAUUUUUGCCGUUGUUUUUAUAGUAUGUCAGGAUACGGUUAAACGUUUGAAGUAAUAUUGAACAGUAUGGUUGGCUCUAAUUGUGCUUUGUAUGGCUGUCCGACCAGCAGAACGCGUGAAUUUGCAAUUUUUAAAAUCCCUGUUGUUGGCGCAGCCGAUGUAGUCUGCGUAGGAGACUACAGCCGAUGGUGAACAAGAAGAGAAAUGCUCGCGAAGAAUGGCUUCGAAUUCUUUUAAAGGACUAGAGAAAAGACGGUAGAUCUUCAGAAACAAAUAAGAUUUUCCUUUGUGAGCGUCAUUUGAAGCCAUUGUAAAUUUUGCAUUUUAUGCAUGCGCUUGUGUGAUCAGAUGUAAACAAAGAGGGCAUUGUAUUUGCAUAUUUACAUAUCUCAUGUCUAUUAAAUAUCUAUCUUCUGUAGACUCCAAACGAAAGAUUUUAUAACUGGUAGCGUACCACUGAAAAUUUACCUACAAUAAACACGAAGUUCCCAAGGCUGAGCGUCGCAUUCUCAACGUAUAAAUACCAGAUAAACAACCUACAAGCUUCAAAUUACACACGUUAGUUCAGUGGCUGGCGAUGUGGCUGGUGUGUCCAGUAUUGAAAUUAAAACUGAUGGCAGAUUUAGAGAUAAUAUGCAAAUAUGGAAAGUAGAAGAAAUUCAAGAUAACCUAGGAGGUCCAAGGCUCAAAAAGCGAUUUAAAAUGCAAAUAAAAUCUUUAAGUUUUUCACUAUCAUAUGAAAAUGGUCUAUGCUUGUUUUGUUCCAAAAGUGGUAUAUUGCAUGUAAAUAUUUUUUGUGGUCACUCGAUUUUCAUACCAAGAUUGGUGAAUUAAAGGCCAUGAUAUUAUAUUAUCUGGUAUUCAACAGAAAUAAAGUCAAAUCAGGGUACAUCAAAGUUUUAAUGGGUUAAUUAGGGGCUGAUUACAUGGAGCAUUUUCAACCCUGGGGUUGUCUCCUACAGAUCUACAGUUGGGACCUACAGGCCUACAGUUGGGACCUACGAGGCUGUCAUUAAUAGGUCGUUAAUUAAUAGUGUUUUUGACAUUAGUUGGUUUAUAUUCAAUUUAGGACAAUAGAUAAUUUAGGUUAUUUAGAUUUAUUCAAAUUUGCAUGACAUAUAACAUGUUGUUGUUGUAAAAGUUUUUUAGUUAGAAAU